rnacentral:rRNA from 1 species
AAAGAAACCAACCGGGAUUGCCCCAGUAACGGCGAGUGAAGCGGCAAGAGCUCAAAUUUGAAAUCUGGCCCCUCCGGGGUCCGAGUUGUAAUUUGCAGAGGAUGCUUCGGGUGCGGCCCCUGUCUAAGUGCCCUGGAACGGGCCGUCAGAGAGGGUGAGAAUCCCGUCUUGGGCAGGGUGCCCGUGCCCGUGUGAAGCUCCUUCGACGAGUCGAGUUGUUUGGGAAUGCAGCUCUAAAUGGGUGGUAAAUUUCAUCUAAAGCUAAAUACCGGCCGGAGACCGAUAGCGCACAAGUAGAGUGAUCGAAAGAUGAAAAGCACUUUGAAAAGAGAGUUAAAUAGCACGUGAAAUUGUUGAAAGGGAAGCGCUUGCGACCAGACUCGCCCGCGGGGUUCAGCCAGCACUCGUGCUGGUGUACUUCCCCGUGGGCGGGCCAGCGUCGGUUUGGGUGGCCGGUCAAAGGCCCCGGGAAUGUAUCGCCCUCCGGGGUGUCUUAUAGCCCGGGGUGCAAUGCGGCCAGCCCGGACCGAGGAACGCGCUUCGGCACGGACGCUGGCAUAAUGGUCGCAAACGAC